rnacentral:pre_miRNA from 21 species
CAGAGCUGUGGAGUGUGACAAUGGUGUUUGUGUCCAAUCUAUCAAACGCCAUUAUCACACUAAAUAGCUACUGG